ACCCUAGGUCAAGUAGGAUUACCUAUUGAGUUUAAGCAUAUGAAUAAGCAAAGGAAAAUAAACUUACCAAGAUUCUCCUAGUAACAAUGAGCGAACCAGGAAAAGCCCAGCUUGAGAAUUGAGAACCCUUAGAGUCCAAAUUGUAGUUUCGUGAAACAUUCUCAGUGAUGGACUAGGCUUAAGUCUCGUAGAAAUGGGUGUUAGAGAAGGUGAGAGUCCUAUUGUGGUUGGAUCCUAUUGCACCAUAAGACUCUAUCUAUGAGUCAAGUUGUUUGGGACUGCAGCCCUAAUUGGGUGGUAAAUUUCAUCCAAGGCUGAAUAUAAGUGAGAGACCAAUAGUGAAUAAGUACUAUGAGGGAAAAAUGAAAAAGACUUUAAAAAAAGAGUCAAAGAGUGCUUGAAAUUAUCAAGAGGAAAACGGAUGGGAGAUGAUGAUGCACCUCAGUUAGAUAUGGAAUGGUGAGAGCCAGUCUAUUGAUUGGCUUAGGGCAUGGACUAACACGUGUCGCAGUGGCUGCCCAACCUUGGGCUUUCGAUAUGCUUACGGAGACAUUGUCACUAUGAUUAUGGAACAUAACACAAUCAUAUCAACAUGCCUCGACACUCGUGUGCUCCUGGCAUCAGCCUGCAAGCUCCCUAUCUAGCUUGUUUUGAAAUGUAGACCAAGGAGUGUGACAUGUGUGUAAGUUAACAUGCUAGAUAACCUAUAAGGUGCAAGAAAGUUGAUUGGCGAGAUCCCUCACAGGUGCACCACCGACCAACCUUGAUCUUUUGAGAAAGGUUCGAGUGUGAGCUUACCUAUUGAGGCGAACUAUACUUGAAUGGGGCUAAGCUAUGGGAAACUCUAGUGGAAGCCCAUAAUGUUACUGAUGUGUAAAUCAUUCAUCUAACUUGGGUAUAGGGGUGAAAGACUAAUUGAAUCAUCUAGUAGCUAGUUCCCUCUAAAGUUUCUUUUAGGAUAGAUGGAGCCCUUAGCGAGUUCUAUUGGGUAAAGCCAUGGUUAGAGGCUUUGGGGCACAAUGCCUUUAACCUAUUCUCAAACUUAAAUAAAUAGGAUGAUGCAGCUACUUCAUUGAGAUGCUCCAUGGAAUCGAGACCUCCAAGUGGGCCAUUUUUUGGUAAGUAGACCUGGUGACAUAGGAUGAACUAAAAGUUAGGUUACAGUGGCUAAUUGUGCGCUAACUUAGAACCCUCAAAGGUGUUGGUCGAUUAAGACAGUAAGACAGUGAUCAUGGAAGUCAAAAUCCUCUAAGGAGUGUGUAACAACCCACUUGUCAAAUCAACUAGCUUCGAAAAUAAAUGGCGCUUAAGCAUGUGACCUAUACUAGAUCAUUGAGGCAAGGGUGAUGGUUGCUGCAAAACUCAAUGUGCAAGCUUGUGCAAAAAGACUAUUAGUGUAAAUCUUAGUAGUAGUAGCAAAUAUUCAAAUCAGAACUUUAAAGGCCAAAGAAGGGAAAGGUUUCAUGUGAACAGCACUUACACAUAGGUUAGUCGAUCCUUAGAGAUGGGUUCAACAUAAGCUUUGAAAGGAAAUUAAGUUAAAAUUCCUAAACUAGGACACAAUGGCUAACAACAACAUUAGGGAUUCCAAAGACAUCGAUAGGGGCCUCAGGAAGAGUUAUCUUUUCUAUUUAAUGACCUACCCACCCUAGAAACAACUCAAUUGGAAGUAGGUUCCAUUGGCCAAAAGAGUAACACAUGUCACAUUAUGUCCUAUUUGCCCUAGCAGCCCUUGAAAAUAUGGAGGAGUGAGUGCUAUUCAUGCCUAGUUGUACUCAUAAUUGCAUGGGUUUCCAAAUUGAACAAGCUCUAGUCAAUGGAACAAUAUAGGUAAAGAAAGUCAGCAAAAUGGAUCUCUAACCUUGGGAAAAUGAUUGGCUCUGAGGGUUGGGCAUGGGGUCCUAGUCUUGAACCUUUUGGCUACCAAUGCACUACUCGAGCUACCCCUACAGUGAGAGUAAUUUGAUGCGUGUAGGCUAAGGGAUGGACUAGGAAUGGCUCCUUCGGGGGCCUUCCCCAUCUGAUGAAUAGUCAACUUAAAACUUGUAUGGACUAGAGGAAUCCAACUAUUUAAUUAAAACAAAGCAUUGUGAUGAUCCCUAGGGAUGCUCACUCAAUGUGAUUUUUUCUCAGUGCUCUAAAUGUCAAAAUAAAGAAUUUCAACCAAUCAUGAGUAAACGAUGGGAGUAAUAUAACUCUUUUGAGGUAGCCAAAUGCCUCUACAUGUAAUUACUGACACACAUGAGUAGAUUAACAAGAUUCUCAUUGUCCUUAUCGACUAUCCAACAAAACCACAACCAAGGGAAUGGGCUUAGCAAAACCAGCAAGAAAGAAGACCUAAUUAAGCUUGACUCUAGUCUAACUUUGUGAAAUGACUUAAGAGGUGUAGGAUAAAUGGGAGCCUUUUGAUGAAAUUGAAAUACUAUUUCUAUUAAUGUUAUUUUACUUAUUUUAUGAAUCGAAAAUGAGGCACAACCUUUUUUUUGGACAUAAAGCUAGCCUCAGUCGAUCAAUCUAGGCGAAAGACAUUGUCAGAUGGGGAGUUUACUGAGGCAGCAUAUUUAUUAAAAGAUAACACAGGUGUCCUAUGAUAAUCUCAACGAGAACAAGAAUCUCAUGUGGAACAAAAGGGAAAAGGCUCAUUUCAUUUUGAUUUCCAGUACAAAUAUGAACCAUGAAAGCAUGGCCUAUAGAUCUUUUAGACCUUCAAAUUUUGAAGCUAGUGGCAUUAGAAAAGUUACCAUAGGGAUAAUUAGCUUAUGGUAACGAAGUAUUCAUUAGCAGCAUUACUUUUUGAUCUUUCGAUGUCAGCUCUUCCCAUCAUUAUGAAGUAGAAUUCUUUAAGUGUUGGAUUGUUCACCCACCAAUAUGAAAUGUGAGCUAGGUUUAGACCAUUGUGAGAUAUGUUAGUUUUACCCUACUGAUAGCAAUGUUGCAAUAGUAAUUCAACCUAGAAUGAGAAAAACUAUUGAUUCACAUAAUUGGUCAUCGUGCUUGGUUAAAAAGCUAGGGGUAAGAAGCUAUCAUACACUGGAUUAUGAUUGAAUGCCUCUAAGUCAAAAUCUAGGCUAGAAGUAAUGCAUAUGCCCAUCAUCCAAUUGUUGACCUAUAGCAUGGAUGCAUGGCCCCCAAGAGCAUGUGUCAUAGGUGCAGCCCCUGCUGCAGACAAGCUACGCAAGCCUUAUUG
rnacentral:rRNA from 1 species